UCCCUUCCAGUCUGACCUGUUUGCCAAAAGAGCUUAUCGGGAGCUCAGGCUACUCAAACACAUGAAACAUGAUAAUGUUAUUGGACUCCUGGAUGUUUUCACUGCAGACCUUUCUCUAGACAGAUUCCAUGACUUUUACUUGGUCAUGCCUUUCA